rnacentral:sRNA from 1 species
UCGUAGGCUUGUUGUGGGCAUAUGAAGUGGAUAUGGCUGUCGAAGCCGCCGGCUGUGAUGAUUUUGUGUUCGCCGGCGAUGACAUCCGUUGCUGCACCGAUGACAAGGUUGUCAUCUACGCCUGUCAUUACGUCGGGAUUUCCUGCUUUGCCUAUACCAGCGAUGAUGCCGUUUUUGAUCCCAAUGUCAGCUUUGUAAACACCUGUCCAAUCGACGAUCAAGGCGUUUGUGAUUACGGUGUCCAAACAUUCUGCAUCGUGUCGUCCACUGGCUUGACCCAUACCGUCACGG